rnacentral:rRNA from 1 species
CGCAGGCGGUCUGUCAAGUCGGAUGUGAAAUCCCCGGGCUCAACCUGGGAACUGCAUUCGAAACUGGCAGGCUUGAGUCUUGUAGAGGGGGGUAGAAUUCCAGGUGUAGCGGUGAAAUGCGUAGAGAUCUGGAGGAAUACCGGUGGCGAAGGCGGCCCCCUGGACAAAGACUGACGCUCAGGUGCGAAAGCGUGGGGAGCAAACAGGAUUAGAUACCCUGGUAGUCCACGCCGUAAACGAUGUCUACUUGGAGGUUGUGCCCUUGAGGCGUGGCUUCCGGAGCUAACGCGUUAAGUAGACCGCCUGGGGAGUACGGCCGCAAGGUUAAAACUCAAAUGAAUUGACGGGGGCCCGCACAAGCGGUGGAGCAUGUGGUUUAAUUCGAUGCAACGCGAAGAACCUUACC